rnacentral:rRNA from 1 species
AGCGAACGCUGGCGGCAGGCUUAACACAUGCAAGUCGAACGGGCGUAGCAAUACGUCAGUGGCAGACGGGUGAGUAACGCGUGGGAACGUACCUUUUGGUUCGGAACAACCCAGGGAAACUUGGGCUAAUACCGGAUAAGCCCUUACGGGGAAAGAUUUAUCGCCGAAAGAUCGGCCCGCGUCUGAUUAGCUAGUUGGUGAGGUAACGGCUCACCAAGGCGACGAUCAGUAGCUGGUCUGAGAGGANGAUCAGCCACAUUGGGACUGAGACACGGCCCAAACUCCUACGGGAGGCAGCAGUGGGGAAUAUUGGACAAUGGGCGCAAGCCUGAUCCAGCCAUGCCGCGUGAGUGAUGACGGCCU